AACGCACCUUGCGCUCCUUGGUAUUCCGAGGAGCAUGCCUGUUUGAGUGUCAUGGAAUUCUCAACCGUGUCCUCGAUCUGAUCUCGAGGCAUGACUUGGACUUGGGAGUUGCUGGCGGCCUCGUCAGCUCUCCUCAAACACAUUAGCGAUGUUCAGCAAGCCUGACGUGCACGGCCUUUUUUCGACGUGAUAACGAUCGUCGUGGGCUGGAGCGGUAGGGUGUGCGGUGAAUCGCUUCCAAUUCCUUAGACUUUUGGUCCUUUUCACUUUGAAAGGGAUCAAUCACGGUCUUUUCGAUCUCGAUCUUGAUGGGGGGGGAAAACCUUUGACCUUCGAGAGACCCAAGCCUUAGUUACUAGUCGGUCGUGAGGCCAACGAACGCAAGGGCCUAGGUUUGAAACUUUGAAGCAAUCGUAGUUCCCCUCUGUCUCGAUCCUGGAUCAUUUGAACUCUUGACCUCAAAUCAGGUAGGACUACCCGCUGAACUUAA
rnacentral:misc_RNA from 1 species